UACAGAGGCCUCAAGCGUUAGGCGGAAUCACUGGGCUUAAAGCGCGUGUAGGUGGACUUUUAAGUGCUUUGUGAAAUCCCACGGCUCAACCGUGGAACUGCUGGGCAUACUGGAAGUCUUGGGCCAUCCAGGGGCAACCGGAACAAGCGGUGGAGCGGUGAAAUGCGCAGAUAUCAGGAGGAACACCGGUGGCGAAGGCGCCACUCUGGGCCGAAACUGACGCUGAGGAGCGAAAGCGUGGGGAGCGAACAGG
rnacentral:rRNA from 1 species